rnacentral:rRNA from 1 species
UACGGUGGGGGCAAGCGUUGUUCGGAAUUACUGGGCGUAAAGGGUUCGUAGGUGGCUUGCUCAGUCAGACGUGAAAUCCCUCGGCUUAACCGGGGAACUGCGUCUGAUACUGGAUGGCUUGAGUUCGGGAGAGGGAUGCGGAAUUCCAGGUGUAGCGGUGAAAUGCGUAGAUAUCAGGAGGAACACCGGUGGCGAAGGCGACUUCCUGGACACCAACUGACGCUGAGACGCGAAAGCGUGGGGAGCAAACAGG